rnacentral:rRNA from 1 species
UACGUAGGGUGCAAGCGUUGUCCGGAAUUAUUGGGCGUAAAGAGCUCGUAGGCGGUUUGUCGCGUCGAAUGUGAAAACCCGGGGCUCAACCCCGGGCCUGCAUUCGAUACGGGCAGACUAGAGUUCGGUAGGGGAGUCUGGAAUUCCUGGUGUAGCGGUGAAAUGCGCAGAUAUCAGGAGGAACACCGGUGGCGAAGGCGGAUCUCUGGGCCUUACCUGACGCUGAGGAGCGAAAGCAUGGGGAGCAAACAGG